GUCCAGAGAGUUGGAAGCAACACAAGCAAAUCUGUAGUGUCAAAAAAAGUAGAAAAUGGUAUUUCAGGAAGGAGCAGGAAUAUCAAAUAUCCUUUUAAGCAAUUUAACAGUAGCAGUAUAUUGCUAAGAGUAGGGGCAUCAGAAAGGGUCUUCACGAAAGCCAGUUAGUCAUCAGGAAGAGUGGAGUUUUUAAAAGAUGUAUCUAAUGAAUGCUGAUUCUUCGCAAAGAAAGAACUUCUCAUUCAGGGCAGCCCGGGUGGCUCAGCUGUUUAGCACUGCCUUCGGCCCAGG